rnacentral:misc_RNA from 1 species
UCGGCGCGCGACUGGUACGUUGCGUCGUUCCGUGCGUGCGCGAGUUUCAACACAUCUCCCCGCCGAUGCGCUCUCCGUUCGCGUUGAUGUAACAUCGAUAUUGGCGUUGCAUCGCUUCUCCGUUUUCCGUCGUCCGCUCAUCCGCACGUCGCGCGGAAUCGCGGUCACCGGGUCGAAUUUCGAGAGCAGGGUCUCGUCGGAGACGUCGUUCGUCCCGCGCCCGCUGAAGUCUAAAGUCGGACGAAGACAGCCGAAAUGCGUAGGAAGCCGCCAGCAGCGGAAUCGUCGAUCGCGUGAGACAGUGGGACCGGAAGCUAUCCUUGAAACCGGCGAAAUGAGAUACCGGUAAAUAAGGACGAGCAAUAACGAGAGAAUGAUAAAAAGCUUGAGAAACGCAGAGAGCGAUUCACGUGUACCAAAAGUGAUUCCGCAAAGGGAUUAAACGACGACGACCUAUUUAAUAAACGGUGAACGCCGAUCAUCGCGAAAUCGAUCAAACUUCGUGGAAAACCAAAGACCGCGCGAAAAAAAAAAACUCUCUCGUCCGGGAGAGAUCAUGGUGUGACUCGUGUGCGAUCGAUAGAGAUCUCCCGGGAGAUCGACGAGAUUAUCCGGUUAUUGUGUGAUUCGGUAGUGAUCGAUUGUGCUGGUGCUUAAUACGUAGCUACAAAUCGGAGAUCCGUCAGCGCUUAGGCUUCAUCCUCAUCGGUUUACUCAUGCUGGGAAUGCUGAAGCGGCGCUGGAAACCAUCAAAAAGGGCUUCCAGCGGCCGCGGACCCGACUCACCCCUCAGCUCGGAUCUGGCGCUUGACAAGCCUCGCCCCAUACCUUCUCCCCGACAAAUCCACCCCUUGUACGGGGAAAAGGCUGGGCUUUUGGGUUACUGCGAUACGGUCGGUAACACGGAGAAUUUUCCACCAGCCCCCAAUAUCGUCGUCGAGGGUGGCAGAAUCGAGUUUGUACGCCCCUCGCAAGAUGGCACGACGACACCCCGGAGAAACACCAUGUCCAGAGCUUCGCAAACUUUCAACGAGCAGCCGGAGGAGAAGUCGGAUCCCGCCAAGGAAAGCUUGGAAGAGCGCGUGCAAGAACUGGAACAAGCGUUGCUAGCGGAACGCAUCGCGGCUCAACGAGAUCGAGCGACGAUCACAAAGUUGCAGCGGCAAAUUAACAAGAGGGAGGCCACGCAACGAGAUGUGGAACGAGAACGUCGGCAACGAAUGGAGGCCGAAGCUCGGGUACGCGAAGUUACGGCUGAAGCUGAAAGAACACGAUCGAGAGUCCAUCAUCUUCAGAGAGAGCUGGCCAGGAUGGAGGAGUCGUCGCGGAGUCUGCUGCAACAAAAGCACCGAGCCGAACAGCUGAAGCAGGAGAAAACGGCACUCACACUUUCCUACGAGGCGCGCGUGCACCAGUACCAGGCGCAGAUAUCGAAGCUGCAGCUGGAGAACGAGUCGAUGCGAGGUCAGCUGCGCGGUCUCGAGGCAGCAUGCGCCGGUGAAGUGCAUGCCGCCCUCGUGGCACGUCUGGCGACUCUGGAGACGGAACACGCCGCCCUGGCGCGGGACGCCGACGCUCAGCGUCGACAGUACGAGCGGUGCCUGGACGACGUCGCCAACCAGGUGGUCCGCGCUCUCCUAUCCCAAAAGGGGCUUAGAGAGGAGAUAGGCGCGUUGCAAAGACGUAUACGAGAGCUCGAGGCUCAGAACCGAGCAUUGUCAGGACUUUUGGCGCAAGCUGCCAGUCCCGGAAGCCCCACCGAACUGAUUCAAGGAAUUCUUGAGGCUGGUCCGGCCACCCUGGUCGCUGCUUUGGGCCUAGACCCUUCUUGGGUCCCUCUGUCGAGGCCACGUUCCCUCAACUUGCAGAUACCCGUGAUGGCAGCUACCAAAUGCCGACGCAAUAGACCUCUUGCGCAAAAACCCUCGGAGGAGGAGGGCAGCGAGAGUCCGGAGAGCGGUAACCGCGACGAGGGUUAUUCGACCAUGUCGAGCGACGUUCAGGGCGAAGGAACGCGUCAGGAACCUUCUGCGCGUGGCCUCGAGGAUCUGAAGGAGGCCACCGACGAGACCGAAGCCGACGUGUCACCGGAUGCGCGUCUCGUCGCUCUCGACGCCGGCGAUCCGGAUGUUCUCUUCCUACCUCUGAAUCUCACAGUGGGCAUCAAUCCGCGUCACAGUUAUCCGCCGACCAAGGAUCUGCUACCGUAUCAGCACGUGAUGCGCAGCUUCUCCGAUAGUCACCUUUGUCUCAAGCUCACUACCACCGCCAAUUUCACGCCAUACAAGCUGCCCAGUCCCAUGGGUUCAUCCUCCCUCUUACUGGUGGAGGAGGAGGGCUGGGACGCCGAGUAUGUCCAACAAUGGCUCAGGCUCGAUGACAGUAGAAGCGCGCAACAACAUCGAGACUUACUCGAAUUGGAGUACGACAGAGCGGAGCUGGAAGAUUGGAGCUUCUCCUUGUCUACGGAAGAUCUCGUACAAAAUGAAUCCGCAAUGUGGAAGGAGCAACCGACUGCUACAAACACGCCCGCUCUGCCGGCAAUCAAGGAGCAUAAUCUCCUGGAAUUGGAGGAGGAUGCGAACGAGUGUCUGUGGAAUGGCGCGAGCUAUCUCGCUGAUAGAACCGGGGGAGAGCUGGUCGCGCUUUUAAUGGACGCGAGAGCGACCGGACCCUGGCCAUAUGCUUCGAGUCCCGGUGCGUCUUGGAGCAGCGAAGAGGGAGUCUUAGAAAAUUCGAGUAAACGUUCAUCGGCGGCGCUAUCCGGCUGCAGCGAUGAUCCUGAUACUCCAUCGAUCGGUACUGAUUUUACUAGGGAUUUUUAUCGAUUAGUAAAGUUCGAGAGCACCAAAAGCUUGGCUAGCACAUCAUCCAGGAGCGGCAGACCACCGCCAGACAGAGAACAAGCGCUUCAAAGCGUCCUCUCCUUUAUUGCUGAGCAACAGAUGUACCUUGCGGAAUUACCCAAUCCCGUGGAAACACAUAACGUCAUGUCUCACUCGGCCGAAGUUACAGAAGUGAACGCUAACAAAAAUGAUUCCGCGGGGGAAGCCAUGGUCACGGAAGUAGAAGGAUCAUGCGCAGAGAGCAGUAAUAAUCCUGGAAACGUAAUUGAAAUGAGUAACAACGACGAGUUACUCGAUCAGAUACAAGUACCACCGUUGGCACCUGAAGAGAGGAUUGUAAGUGCUGUUUCGUGUAACGGUGGCAUUUCAUACACAACAGUAGCACCAUCGGAAUUAGGAGCCGUUCCUGAAGAAGAUGAAGAGGUUGCAACUUCCUCUACACCCAGUACGGUUGUCAGUCCGGCGCGAGCGACUCUUUUCGUGGAAGGUAGAGAUCGAACAUUGAGUUUUCACGAGCGCGCCACAUCCAAAGACGUUAUAGACGAGCUGAAUCGUAUGAUUCGGAAAGGCGAGGAUCACACCACCGCUAUCACUAACAAUGAAUCGCAGGUAGUGCUGGAGAAAUUGGAUCUUGCUUGCUGCUGUCCAACAGGAUGGGUUCACGUUGAACGCGAUAUUGACUUCACCGACCCUAAAGCCAGAGCCAAUCUCUUAGAUGUGAUGUUAGCAAGCAGCGAAAGUUCUUCGGCGACAUCAAGUAGCGGUUCGGCAGGCAGCGACUCGGGGGAUGAACCACCUGAUUACCGCCACUUGCAUAGAUUACAUCGAUACCGACGACAAAAGAAAGCGUCGGCGGCCCAGGCGCACCGCGUCCUCCGGUUGUCUACUUGGGGCUCGUCCCGGCCGUCCAUCAUCGGUCGCGGUGAUGACUUCUUCGUGCGUUAUGGGGACAAGGAGCGUGAGGCGGUGGCCUCCUUCGACUUCCUCGACGAGUUCGUCGCGGCGACAAUGGCGGCUCCUUCCUCCUCGCUCGGCUCGGAUGGCAGCCCCGUCGACCUAGAUGACCUCGCGCCGACUGCCGAUCUCAACAGCGACAUCAUGAAGCUUUCGCCACUUUAGGAAUGAAAUAGCGGAUCCAUUUUGUAGAACACAGCAGCUAUUUCCUAGAUGCGCGCACGCGAGCCUUUUCCAAUUAAAAAAUCAAUCCAGCUAUCUUAAUUCUUUUGAUAUUGAAUAAUCUAACUUUGUUUCCAUUCUUUUCUAUAACGAUAAUAUUUCUUAUUUUAACCGUGUUAAAUUCUCUAUUUUUAUUUUUGACAUGUGUAGAAAUGAGAAAAUUAUAAUUUUAAAUAUUCAAAGUUUGAAAAAUACUAUCGUUCAAUAAAGGCUCGCGAAUUCACUAAAUGCGACAUCAUCAUAAGUUUGCUUCCUGAUUCCGCCAAUUAUAGAGAAUCAAAAUGACGAACCAUCUGAUAGUCUGAUCCUAUUUAACGCAGUAAAAAAUAGAGCGAUAAGUAACUAUUCGCAACCAAUGUUACUAUUUUUUUUGCUAUCGACGAAUAUCGAUUGUUUUGAAAUAUUAGGCCAAUAUCGUUCACUACAUGAACGCCAUUCAUUUAUGAUGAAGAAUAAGAACAAAUCAUUAUCCUACAAUGUUUUCGACGCCGCGUUUCGAGUUUUGAAAUAUUAUAUAAUCGUGUGGAUUUUCUUUUAUCACAUAAAAUAAUCGAAAAACUCAAAGUGUCACGUAUCGAGAUAAAUUUACGAUUUAAGACAAGAGUAUCUUGUCUUUUUCUCUGCGAGCUUCCUCUUACUCAAAAUACAAAUAACUCACUAUGGUACAGUCGAAUGUAAAACAGAAAAAUGAAAGAUCACUAAAAACAAGUUGGUCCAAGCUAGAUCUUAGUUAAAUUCAGGCUGAUUCCUAGUUGAAAUUCAACCUGCGGAUCGAGUUAAAUAUCUAUUUCUAAUAUUUUCAAUUUGAAAUACUUUCAGCAUGAAAUCCGAACGCAUAAGUUUUGUGUUACAUUCGCGCUGUACUUUGGUACGUUAAAUAAAAAGGAUCUAUUAAUGAAUAUGUGCGGAUAAAUAUUAGUCAAAUAAUUAAUGAUAAGGAUAUGUAAAUUGUAGUCGACUUGUGACAUUAAAAUAGCGUGUAUGGCGGGCAUGAAUUGCCACGAUUGGAAGGUCCUCGAAGGAAUGAACGCACACUAGCGUCAUAGAUAUAGUUGGUAAUCUUUAUACAAAUAUUUCGAAUAUUUGAUAUCACGAUUGUUAGAAAGAUGCAAGAUCUUUCUGAUAGCUUGAAAAAAAUUAGGUAACAAAAUUCUCUUAUAAAUAUUGGACUUGUCAAAAAAUAUGUUAUAUUUGAAUUUCUUUUCGCAACGAACUAAAAGAUCUAAUGAAACAAAGAAAGAAUGUUUGAUAUUCAGAAUUUUUUCCACUGAGAAUUGAAAAAUUUCGACAAACUCCAUGAAUUUAAUAUUUAAAAACUAAUGAUAUUAAUUAAUUGGCAUUAAACUAUCAGAAAUCUUGAAUGUGAUUAAGAGAAAUGUCGUUUCUAUCGAGAAUGAUGCAUUUUAAACGACAUAGACUGUUAUUGAAUCAUUGUGAUGACUUCCGGAGAAAUAUAUAUCGUAGCGCGGUCACCUUCCAAAGUGAGCUUAGAGAACGUAGAUUAAGAGGUAGUUGUCGAUUUUCUAUGAACUGCUAGGUAUUUUAUACUCCUUUACUCCCUCCUACCUUCCGAUCCCGUCUUUAAUCGUCGAGCGUCAAAAGUUUCGCGAAGAUCGUUCAUCGUUAAUUCGAUCUACGCGCAACAAACUAUUUUCUUCUGUCCUUAGAAAUAAGAACGUAAACGAGCCUGUAAAUUUCGCUUCCGAACUUUGUAAUAUAGUAGAUUGUGAGGAGUGAAAGAGAGAUAGAAAAAGGUAAUCUUACAUAGAGAAAAAAUAAAAUAACAAUUACUUUGUCGGGUGACUGAAGGGAGCACUUCGAUGUAAUUUGUACGAAAGUCGUCGCUCCGAGACGACUUUUGAGUAAUACGUUUGAUCGAAUUAUAGGCAUAAUAUCAUUAGUAUAUACAUAAGUUUAAGAUAGAGAUCAAGAUUAUUUUACACGUAGCUAUAUCAGUAUGACAAGAGUACGAGGAUCAAUAUUCAAGGUGGAUGGAGGCUGCAUGGACGUCGAAAGUUGUUCUAUAUUUGCUCGCGUUGCUGCUGUUCUAGUCAAGCAAGUAAAAAAACUUUCGUCCUGCAGCCUGAAGUGAAAAUAAUAGACUAACGACAUAGCUUUAAGAUGUUUGUAAGUUUUACCUGGGGACCGUAUGGCCCCAGCUUUAUUCCCGGUCGCAGUAGCAGCAAAGUCAAAUGAUAAUUGUGAAAUGGAGAGUGAUUUUUGCUGAACGACACGAUGUACAUAGUAUGUAUUAUAGCUCAAAACGCAGAUGUAAGCAAUCCUCUCUUGAACUUAAUAAAUAACGACAAUAUAUGAACGUAAAAAGAAAAAAAGCAUCUGAAUUGUCGUCUAAAUUCUUGUUGUUUAUUUAUUGUUAUGCAAAAUUGGAUAUUUAAUUUUAUUUCGCAGCGACAGUAGAAACAACAAUAGUAAUUGUAUGUACAUUAUAGAUCGAAAACGACGAGAUAAAUAAUAAAAAAUAAUCACGACAACACAAUAGUUUAGUAUUG